UACGGGGGGAGCGAGCGUUAUUCGGAUUCAUUGGGCGUAAAGCGUUCGUAGGCGGAUUGGUAAGUCUCCUUUUAAAGCCCAAGGCUUAACUUUGGAAAUGGGGGAGAUACUGGCAAUCUUGAGGGUAGAAGGGGGUGCUGGAACUUGCAGUGUAGGGGUGAAAUCCGUUGAUAUUGCAAGGAACGCCAAGGGCGAAGGCAGGCACCUGGGAUACUUCUGACGCUAAGGAACGAAAGCUAGGGGAGCAAAAGGGAUUAGAUACCCGCGUA
rnacentral:rRNA from 1 species